rnacentral:rRNA from 1 species
UACGUAGGGCGCAAGCGUUAUCCGGAAUUAUUGGGCGUAAAGAGCUCGUAGGCGGUUUGUCGCGUCUGCCGUGAAAGUCCGGGGCUCAACCCCGGAUCUGCGGUGGGUACGGGCAGACUAGAGUGAUGUAGGGGAGACUGGAAUUCCUGGUGUAGCGGCGAAAUGCGCAGAUAUCAGGAGGAACACCGAUGGCGAAGGCAGGUCUCUGGGCAUUAACUGACGCUGAGGAGCGAAAGCAUGGGGAGCGAACAGG